rnacentral:rRNA from 1 species
AGAUGGGAUUAGCUAGUAGGUGGGGUAAAGGCUCACCUAGGCGACGAUCCCUAGCUGGUCUGAGAGGAUGACCAGCCACACUGGAACUGAGACACGGUCCAGACUCCUACGGGAGGCAGCAUG